rnacentral:lncRNA from 1 species
AGCCUGGGCAACAGAGCAAGACUCCGUCUCAAAAAAAAAAAACAACAACAUACAAAAAUGCCUUUGGGAUUCAGCGUAAUCUGCAGGUUAUAAAAGCAACUGCAAGGAUGAUAGGAGCUUUUUUCACCACAGCCUAGGAUGCCUUUGAGAAAACCGACAAAUUUGAAAACAUGAUAAAGACUUCCCCCUGGAUUCAGCCCCUCUACUCUGCCAACAUUGCUCUCACCAGGGUACCCAGUGACCUCCAAGUUGCCCACUGUGGGAGCACUCCUGAGUCCUCAUCUUACUGGAACGCUCCUCACGACCAUCAGGGAAUCUUCUGCUGCCCAUGAAAGGAAGCCCAACUCGAAUUGCUGCAAGCAGAACUGGCUCCAGAUCACCAGAGGAAUAUGGCAAGACAUUUACUGAGGGUGGAAAGAGAUCAAACUGGCUGCGGUCACUGGAAUGUUCUAGCUCUGAAAGCGUGACUCAAGUCUUCCCUACUUUGGUGAAUGUUUGAAGCCUAGAGAAACAUAUUCCAUCAAGAAAGAAUAAUAAUUAAUAGAACAUGUUUGUAUACUCUAUAAAUUUUAUACAAAUUACAACAUUUCAGUUACCAUCAUUAUAAAUUUGAUAUACUGUUUAAUUUAUACCAUGUUAUCUUUAAUGUUUCUAUAUAUUUGGUGUAAUCUGUGCCAUAUUACUCUAUAAUUAGUAUAUUAAAAUGUAGUAGACUAUAGCUCUCUAUUAUAUUAGGAGAAUGCUACAUGUGUAACCAAAGAGAAUCUUAAUAUGUAUAGGAGUAUUCAUUAGAUAUGUAGAUAAUUUUUAUAUAUUAAUGAUACCUGCAAAUUUGUCUAGAUAAUACAGUAACUGUGACAAUAAGUAGUUUUUUUUAAGGGUUUAGAAAGUUAAAUAAUCAGACAAUGCAACAAUUUUUCCAGAAUGAUCUUAGAAAACUCCUUUGAGGUCAGCUAACAUGACAUCAAAAUUCAGUGUGCAUAACAGUUUGUUACUGAAAUACUUUGUCAGAAAAGGCUUUGCAUUAAAAAAAAAAUUGACGUAUUGAUUUCUUUUUACAGACGGGGUAUUGCUAUAUUGCCCAGGCCGGA